UAGGGAAUCUUCGGCAAUGGGGGCAACCCUGACCGAGCAACGCCGCGUGAGUGAAGAAGGUUUUCGGAUCGUAAAGCUCUGUUGUAAGAGAAGAACGUGUGUGAGAGUGGAAAGUUCACACAGUGACGGUAACUUACCAGAAAGGGACGGCUAACUACGUGCCAGCAGCCGCGGUAAUACGUAGGUCCCGAGCGUUGUCCGGAUUUAUUGGGCGUAAAGCGAGCGCAGGCGGUUUAAUAAGUCUGAAGUUAAAGGCAGUGGCUUAACCAUUGUUCGCUUUGGAAACUGUUAAACUUGAGUGCAGAAGGGGAGAGUGGAAUUCCAUGUGUAGCGGUGAAAUGCGUAGAUAUAUGGAGGAACAACGGUGGCGAAAGCGGCUCUCUGGUCUGUAACUGACGCUGAGGCUCGAAAGCGUGGGGAGCAAACAGG
rnacentral:rRNA from 1 species